UACGUAGGUGGCAAGCGUUGUCCGGAUUUACUGGGUGUAAAGGGCGUGUAGCCGGGCUGACAAGUCAGAUGUGAAAUCCGGGGGCUCAACCCCCGAACUGCAUUUGAAACUGUUGGUCUUGAGUAUCGGAGAGGCAGGCGGAAUUCCUAGUGUAGCGGUGAAAUGCGUAGAUAUUAGGAGGAACACCAGUGGCGAAGGCGGCCUGCUGGACGACAACUGGCGGUGAGGCGCGAAAGCGUGGGGAGCAAACAGG
rnacentral:rRNA from 1 species